rnacentral:rRNA from 1 species
GAUGAACGCUGGCGGCGUGCCUAAUACAUGCAAGUCGAGCGAACAGAUGAGGAGCUUGCUCCUCUGACGUUAGCGGCGGACGGGUGAGUAACACGUGGAUAACCUACCUAUAAGACUGGGAUAACUUCGGGAAACCGGAGCUAAUACCGGAUAAUAUAUUGAACCGCAUGGUUCAAUAGUGAAAGACGGUUUUGCUGUCACUUAUAGAUGGAUCCGCGCCGCAUUAGCUAGUUGGUAAGGUAACGGCUUACCAAGGCAACGAUGCGUAGCCGACCUGAGAGGGUGACCGCCCCCACCGGACCUGACCCACGCCCCAGCCCCCGACGGGGGCAGCCGGGAGGGUUUCUUCCGCAAGGGGCGAACCCCGGACGGGCCACCCCCGGGUGAGGGAUAAAGGUUUUCGUACCUUAAAACUUUUUUAUGGGGAAAAAAAAAAUGGUUAAGAAACUAUGCCCGUUUGCAGGUCCCCUAAUAGGAAGCCCAGGCCAACUUCCGCC